ACACUCACAGCCCUGCACCCCCUCGCCCGCCAGGCUUCCUUUCAGGCCUGAGUCUCUGCUGAUUUGUUUAUGCUCUGGUUUCGCGUUUGGUCUUAAAAGUACUAGAUCUUGGUGUCUACACCUCAGAGUGUCACCCACGAAAAAGACAAGAGGACUGCAUCGUACCAUCCCGGGCGCGGGUGAGACAAAACGCCAAGCGUCCAGAGAAGUGUCAGCUCCACAACGCUCUUCAGAAGCAUCAAACAAAAAGAACCUGACCUCGAACCUUCACUCUGCACUGUGAAGCCACCCUGGAGGUUGUCUUGGGUCGGCAGGACAGGGGCAAACCCAGACCCUCAGCCGCGCAUGGGACAGGACCUGCACUUACCGUCUACACAGGUCUCAGAGGGUCUGCACAGCCCGUCCUCGAGUAAGCAGCCUGGGGAGGAAGACAAAGGACAAAGGAGUCAGAGCCUGGAGAAGAGCAACGCACGCUGGGGCCACGGCCCCCGGCCCCUGAGUCCCCGGGGAACAGCGCAGACCUUCCUGCGCUCUUUGGGUUUGGCUGUUGAGAGGACUCUGGAUUGUCUGGGAGCCAGAAUCAAAUGCCCCUGACCAGAGGGAGCAAAGAAAGGCCAGCCCCGCUGCUCCAUCAGAAGCCAGGCACCAUCGUCCUGUCCCUGUGGCGGCAGGGAGGGGCCGUCCACCUGAGGGGCCUUUCCAGGGAACGGACAAGAGAAAACCCGUCCCGGUGGGGUGAGCCGGGGGCGAGGAUGUGAAGAGCAGGAGCAUCGGCCUGACCCUCAGGACCCCGCUGUAGUCAUGCCUGCCCCAGAGGAAGCUGUGAGCCAACAAAAGCCAGACAUCUUUGGAACAUACUGUGCUUCUCCAGCUGACGAACUCCUAUUCAUCCACUAAGACCCAUUUCAAAAUUCCCCCACGGACUCAAGCUCCCUUGACUAGACCCACCAAUUAGCUCUGUCCAGGCAUCUGCUAUGGACUCUCCACACUGUGUUGUGACGUCAACUUAAGAGUACAACUUGCCUGAAUAUGAGAUUCUCAAGGUUCGGAUCCACAUAAAUUGAUCUUUCUAUCCUCUGCCACUCUGUGAAUGGCUCCCCCUAUGCCUGGCGAUCGGCAGGUGCUCGAGUGAGAGAGGAUGACAAGCAGGAGGAGGUUUUCAGUGCAGGGGCUUUCGCCCCCAGAGUCACUGUGCAGUCUCCAACCAUGACUUCCCUCGUCAGGGAACUGCUCUAGGCCCUUAGAGCUGAAGCUCUCACUCCUUCAAGAAGCUAUGGACUGGGGACGGCGCAAAGCCAGGAUCUGCACAGGAUGCAAAAGCAAAGAGCCUCCCACAACCGAGAAUGCAAGAGAGGAGAGAACUGCCUGAACCCGCGAGAACGAGCAGUCUCACUGUGCCCUUAAGACAGCGUCGUGGGCCAGACCUUCAGUGCCCCGUUGAGAGCAGAAGCACCCAGGUGCAGGCCCUGGUCACAGAGCCGCAGCGAGCUGAGGCCCUUGGGCCUCUGCCCUAAGCACAGACUCGGGCUUCCUGCAACAACCCUGCCUCAUGAGAAGAGUGCUUCCUUUUUAGUCGCGUUUCAACACACACCUGCACCUCCUACUUCAUCUGUGAGCGGCCCCCGGUGCUGAGCUCCUGUCGGCUUCCCGUCCCGAGCCAGGGCGAGUGGCGAAAAGGUCAAACACACCCCCGAGAGCGCCUGGCACAGGGGGACCAAUCUGGCUCCCCCCAGAGUGGUGACCUUGAGGAGGUCACUGGGAUCUGGCAGUCUCAGCACCGUGAGCAGCGCAAUCAGGACCGGGUUAGCUGAGCUCUGACUCCGCUCAACCACCCACGGGGAGGAGGGCACUGCUGGAACCUCUCCCACAGCUCCAGGCACCCAGGCCGCCCCCUCUGCUGCUGCCCAGGACUAUUAGAUGCUGUGGAAGGCCUCGAAGAAGGCAAGCCUUGGGCCAGGGCAGCUGCAGGGCUCGGCAGAGAGUCGCCCACUGUAAGAAGUCUGUGUGGUCACAUGGCAGGGGCAGGUGGCCCUGCUAGAAAAGGCAGCGGGAAAACGCUCUGUUCGCUUCCUGUCCUGCUCUAAUCACGCUGACAGCCAGACACGAUCUGACCAGGACCUGCCCGCAGUCCACUCUGAGUCCCAACCUUGAACAGCAAGGUCCUGCUGCACCUGAGUUGGUCCCGUCCAGGGAACUGGAGAGACCACAUCAGAAAGGCCUCCACCCGCGGCACGGCCAGAGCUGAGGGCGCUGUCACACUUCACCCAGCCGGGCCACAUGCCCAUCUGACUGCUAAUUUACUCAUGUUGCUGUUUGCUCUAAAAAUAAGAGACCACGUUUCAGUUGAGCUAUCAGCCCUAAUUCACCGAGAGGCAGAGCUUGGUUUGGACGCGCUCCUGCCCCCAGGUCGCCCCCCCACCCCGCCCCGCACUAUCGUCAGUCAUCACCGCCCCCAGGUCAAGCACUGAACGGUCUCCGUCCAGAUGUUGCUCUGAAGGCAAGAGUUAAAUCCGUGAAAAUAGCCCACGGCCGGCCAUCCGCCCUGCACGUCCUGGGCCGGGGCUCAGACAGAAUUUCCCCCCAUAGGGUGUGGGCCGCGCUCCACGAGGCCCCCGUGCACGCGAGGACAAAACACACACACAGAGACGUGGCCACACCGAGGGGCCGCCGUCCAGGUUCUGCUUCCCUCUACCUUCUCAGAACACUGAGGACUAUCUUGUCGUCCUCUCGGUGUCUAUUUUUCUUAUCCUAUUUGGAAAUAAAGUGGAUCCAGCUCUUCGGAAGGGAGCCCAGCCCACCGCUCCCAAGAGACCUUUAAAAGGAUUUUGUAUUUUGUGGUGGAAACAGCCCACGUGUGCCCAGCCCCACCUCCUGCCCCCAACCCUGCCCCCCAACUGCUGGGGUCCCCAGGUCUGCCUUUGCUGCAGGGGCCAGAGGGGGGCUCCGGCCCCACGACUCCGUCAGCUCCGGCCCAGGCGCCCUUCUGGGUCUGGUCUUCUCACCUGACCAACCAGAAUCAAAGGAACUCCCUGCCCUGCCUCGGGGCCUUCGCAGAAGUGCUGAGAAACCCAUAAACGUGCACAGCCGUAACAGAGGUUUUGUGACUGAAGAACACGAGGAAAAGAUGAAUGUAAAGAAGAAAAUAAAAACUAAAAUUCUGGAUCAAGGCAAGAGGAAGAUUCUUAGAAACCAAGAGUAUUCUCACCCAAUUUUGUGGAAACAGCGGAUAACGCUACUAAGCCAAGAAGGGUUUAGUAUCGUGACCAAAUAAACCCCCGGCGAGCUCCACCCGGCACCAGGACUGCCCCGCAGGGCUUGUAACAAGUGUGUGGUCGUUUUCCCAGAGGCAGUUUCCCCCAGUUAGCAAGUCUUCCUGCGCGUGGAUUCUCCACUCCUCUGUCGUCGACCCCCCCCACCGGGUGAACCAGAGGAGGCAGCGACUGUCCCGAACCUCAUGCAGUCUCACUCCCAAGCUCCGCCAGCGGGACACUGUGCCCUGUGCUUCCCGCCCCGGGUCCGUCCUGCAGCAGCAGUGCAGGGCCCUGAUCCCACCUUAUGGAUGAGGAAACCCAGACUCAAAAAGGUGACUAAUGCGCCCACAGCCAAAGCCCGGGUGGUCUCUGCCGCAAAUGUGCUCUCCCCCCAGUCCACACCGUGCCAGGUAAGAGGGGUGUGAUUCCCGCGGUUACCUGAGCAGAGAGAGGCAGGGUGAGGCCACCGGGACUUUCUCCUGGGGGAGCGGCGCGUCCUGACCGCAGCCUGCAGGUCUCAGCUCCUCCCUUGCCCUGCAACCCUCUCUGCGGCUCCUCCCUUGCCCUGCAACCCUCUGUGCGGCUGGCGUGGAGCAAGUCUGGAAAAGAGGGUCCCUGUAUCAUUCAGCCGGCCGCCUGCCCUCGGGAGGGAGGGAGGGAGGAGAGCCCCUGCGCCCGCGUGCUCCUCCCCUGCUGCGGCUCUGCUCCUGGCCCCGCAACCUGCCCCAGCGCCCAGGAGCAGCUCCCAGCCCCGCAGAGAGGGUGGCCACUCGGAGUGGUCAGCUGGCAGUGCCGGGCUCAGUGCCCUUGGCCGCCUGCAGAUAAUGGAAGGUGAGGCCAAGCCUGUCCUGUGAGCUGGGUACCAGGAGCAGGGCCUGCCUGAUGGCACCCCCAGGAAGCCCAGGGUGGGCAGAAAUCUAUUUGGGUUUUUUUUUUUCUUUCUUUCUUUCUUUUCUUUUCUAGAAGCUGUAUGUGUGUGUGUGGCACUUUGUGUGUGAAGGUUCCGGUCUGGCCCAAGCGCUGAGCACCCGGCCCUGAGAGGGGAGCAAGGCAGGCCUGCCAGCCGGUGCGACCCUGAGCACAGACUCCCCACAGCGGUGCCACGCCAGUGGGGUCCCCAGGUACCCCCAGACCCAGAGCUAGCACAGACCCCUUCCGCUCCUCUCCCUUCCCGCACAGGUGGACUCUCACGGCUCCCGGUCACCGUCACUGUCCUGCUCGUCCUCCAUCAGGCCUCCCUGCAAGCAGGGCAGGUGCUCGAUAGGUAAACUGGGAGAGACACAGAGGGAGCUCCCAACGGGAGCUGGACAGAGCCCCCAGGGCCUCCAUUCCCAAGGCGAGGAGUCCACACCUCAGAGUGAGGCUCAUGGGUCAGUCACUCCCUUUGCCCAGAAAAGUGGCAUCAAAACCCAGGCAAAGGCUACAAGGAUUUAAGGACCUAGGUGUCCACCCUCCUUCCGUGACCUCCCGAGGGCGCAGAGGUCCAGGGUGGGGGCGGAGAACUUCCUCUCCUCCGCCUGGACCCUGGGCCCUGCACCCUGGGGAGGGCCACCUCCCGCUGCCGCCGCGGGUGGAGGCUGAGCGCCCAACCUCGCCCCCACCCUGACCACCGCAGGAACUGGGGCGCCGGCCGCUGGGCGACGUCAGAGACGGCUGUCACCUGGGCCCCUGGACCCAGGGCCGAGGCCAGCACCAUGUCCUCCUGGGGGCCCGUGCUCACUCACCCAACAGCCAGCUCUUAAAGCUCAGCGCACAGUAGGUGCUAAAGACAACAGUGCUCUUCCUGAUAUGAGAGUUUUUUCCAAGAGUUUCAUCUCGCGAAUUUCUGGGUUAUUUUAAUGUUUCUUUUUUUUUUUUUUUUACCACGACAUCUUUGCGAGGCAUAUGUAAACAAGUAACAACCCACUUAGUGAAAGAAAACAGUGCCCCAUUUCCUCCCAAAAGGAGCCGUUUCCUUUAUCACCUCUUCUGGUUUACUUAGUUAUGCUCCAGUUCUUCGCUGGCCUCUCGCAGCCGAGCCAACCGCGCGGCUUAGCACCUUCCGAGUCUGAGAGGCGCGUGCCCUUCGAGGAGCAGCAGACGGCACGACAGCCCGGAGGCCCCACACCCGGGCCGGGAGGGACGGGCCCGCCGCAGCUGUGAGAACGGCUGUCUUCUGGUGGGAAGCCCUGCCCCCGACCCCGCAGGCCUGGUCCUUCCAAUUCGCCCACCCCAGGUCUGGGAGGCAGGAGGCCUGGGGACAGGGGCGCCGAAGAGGGCUGGCUUUCUCACCUCCCACAACCUAACAAAGCACCGGCACAGGCGCUCAAGCUGCUCUGGGUCUAGAGGUGACGGCACAGCUGGACGCCUGCGAAAGAGGGGCCCAUGGGACGUCCACGUGGUGGAGAAGCCACAGCCGCCCAAAGAGGCCACCCGGCCUGCGCCGGAGCCCAGCCCAGACAGAAACGACACUCGUGGCAAGGAGGCACCUGGUGUUGGGACGCUCCGAAUAGUUCGUCUUAUCUGCUUCCAUUCCUGCCCCUACAGGUCUGAGCACCAGGCAGAGCAAAGCUUCUCCCACAGGCAGUGAGUUAGCAGCCCAUAGGCGCCGAGCACACAAUAGGCCUGGGGAAUGCUCGGCGCCCCCGCCCCUUCCCCAGGACAGCCCUUCAAGUUUAAAUCCGCUCUUCAGACACUCGACAGCUUGCAGUCCAACCUCCCUGCUCUCGCCUCGGCCACCUCGUCUAGACCCAUCCGAAGGCGAGGCGCCCUGUCAGGACAGACCGGAGACCAGGAGCGACAGGUCACCUGCAGAGACCGGUCCUCCUCCUCUGGUUCUGACCCCCCCCCCCCCCCCCCCCCCCCCCCNACCCACCCAAUCACAAGUGCUUGAGGCCAACAAGCGGCCGGGGGCAGAGAGAGGAGCCAGAUCCGGGCGCUCCUGGUACGAGGAGGCCAGCCUCCCUGAGCCCGCAGACCAUGGCCACGUGCUUCUGUUAAGUAACAUGCUGCUGGAACCCAGCCACCUGCUCGCCCCUCACCUACGGCUGCUUUUGUCCCGCAACAGCUGAGUUCGAUACCUGAGACAGACACCGUGGGCCUGCAAGACUCAUUUACAGAAAACGUAGCUCACCCUGCUGUCUCAGAAGGAAAGCAGCUUGCUCACAGGACCGAAAGGAGGUUCGAAACUAGGAGAAAUGGGUGAGGACCAAGACAGGACCCUCCAGGACACAGCACAGGACGCAGCCACCCCCACGGGCUCAGCAGGGGGCAGGCCCAUGCUGCUCUGGAGCCUCCCUUCUCGCCGCGCUGGCUCAGAGCUGUGGCAUCGGCAAGAGACUGGCCUCGCCCGCGUCAGUGGCCUUGUGUCACCCGCACAGUUCACACAGGGGCAGCCACCGCCCCCCAAACCCAGACUGCACUGCACAAGAGCACACGGGACUUACCGGGGACCCAUGACGCCAGGGACUCCAAUUUCACAUGGGAACACAAGCUGUGCUUUGCAAAGUCACCGCUGAGCCACCCAGCCUGGACCAUCCUGGACCACUGCCACCACCGGCCUCUGGACCCCAAGAACAGGGCACUGUCCUCUCCCUGAGGAAAUUCAGAGUGUGCCCCCAGCCUAGGUCCCUGGACCCCACCUGCGCAGGUCCAGCUGCCCGCCAGCCCCCAGCUGCCCGUCCCUCAGAGAUUUAACAAACUCCUGGUCCCUCUCCUCCCUGUCCAAGUCUCCAUACUCCCUCCAUGGCCCUGGACACGGCAGGCCUAACCCAGUGCUGAGGAGCGGGGGGAAAACAAGGCAGCAGAGGGCGGUGGCAGGAGGGCAAAGCCACCAGCUUGGCCGCUUCCAAACCAGAAGCUUCCUGCACUUAAACUCCCUGAAGGCGAGCGAGCUGAGUGCCAGGUGAUGAGAAGACUCAGUUACAGCACUAAACACCGCAAGUUUGACCUGGGGCCUGGAAAAAGCUUUGCUCAGCAAAUAGAGAAUUUUAGGUGAGUCACGUUCCCACUGGCAAGCCCCGUGUUCUCUCUGCUCCUGUUACUUAAACCAUCACUGCAGAGUUUCCCUAUUAUGAAUCCUAGAAAAUGCAGAAAAUCACAGAGAAUAAAGGAAUACCAGUUACUGCAUCACACACAGUUAACACCCCUUUUAAUGUCUUGGUUUGGGUCAUUUUUCUUUACCUAUUUAAAAGAACGGGGAUCACACUUACACAUAAUCCUAUAACCUGCCCUUUUUACUUCUAACACAUUGUAAACCAUGCCUGGUCCUUAGCGUUUCUCAUUCUCAUCAUCUUGAAUCACAGCAGAGUAAUUAAUUCUUGAACAUAAUCUAUUUAACCAACUCCCUCUUUACACUGUUUCCAAUUUUCCCAUUUAAAAUAAUGCUAAAAAUGUAUAUCUUACACACACACACACACACACACACACACACACACACUAGAAUAUUACUCAGCAAUUAAAAAGGAUGAAAUAAUGCCAUUUGUAGCAACAUGGGCGUACCUAGACAUUAUCACAGUAAGUGACGUAAGUCAGACAGAAAAAGACAAAUAUCAAAUAUUAUAUAUGGAAUCUAAUUUUAUUAUUUAUUUAUUUACUUUUGUCUUUUUGCCUUUUCUAGGGCCACUCCCGCGGCAUAUGGAGGUUCCCAGGCUAGGGGUCUAAUCGGAGCUGUAGCCGCCGGCCUACACUGCAGCCACAGCAACGCGGGAUCCAAGCCGCAUCUGUGACCUACACCACAGCUCAGGGCAACGCCGGGUCCUUAACCCACUGAGCAAGGCCAGGGAUCAAACCCGCAACCUCAUGGUUCCUAGUCGGAUUCGUUAACCACUGCACCACGACGGGAACGCCUGGAAUCUAAUUUUAAAGGGAUACAAAUCAACUUAUUUACAAAAGAGAAACAGACUCACAGAUUUUGAAAACAAAAGGGAAACGUGGGGGAAGGGGGAUAAAUUAGGAAUUCGGGACUAGCAGAUACACACAGCUACACAUCAAGCAGGUAAUCAGCAAGGACCUGCUGCCGAGCACAGGGAACUACUCAGUGUUCUGUCAUAACCUACAUGGGAAAAGAAUCUGAGAAAAAUGGAUACCUGUGUGUGUAUAACUGACUCACUUUGCUGUACACCUGAAACUAACACAACAUUGUAAAGCAACUAUAACUCCAACUAAAAAAUAAAAAUAAUAAUGCU
rnacentral:lncRNA from 1 species